rnacentral:rRNA from 1 species
CAGAAACUCAAAUGAAUUGACGGGGCCCGCACAAGCGGUGGAGUAUGUGGUUUAAUCGAUGCAACGCGAAGAACCUUACCUGGUCUUGACAUCCCGGAGACCCUUAGGAAACUAGGGGGUGCUUCCAUCUGGAAGAAUCUGGAGACAGGUGCUGCAUGGCUGUCGUCAGCUCGUGUCGUGAGAUGUUGGGUUAAGUCCCGCAACGAGCGCAACCCUUGCCUUUAGUUGCCAGCAGUUCGGCUGGGCACUCUAAAGGGACUGCCGGUGUUAAACCGGAGGAAGGUGGGGAUGACGUCAAGUCCUCAUGGCCUUUAUGACCAGGGCUACACACGUACUACAAUGGCCGAUACAAAGGGCAGCGACACUGCGAGGUGAAGCCAAUCCCGUAAAAUCGGUCUCAGUCCGGAUUGGAGUCUGCAACUCGACUCCAUGAAGUUGGAAUCGCUAGUAAUCGUGGAUCAGCAUGCCACGGUGAAUACGUUCCCGGGCCUU